UUUGCUCUAUGCUUGUCCUCUUUUCUCUUCUGGUUUCGGUGACAUCAAGGAGAACAGAAGCUCUCCUCUUCUUUCUUCUCUUCUGUUUAAUCUCUCUUUGGUGGGUGAAUGCAUAAUCAAGGAUGAAUCCUCUCUUUUGGAUGACACAAUAAGACGAAGUUAUUUCUUGUAAAGGUGUAGACCUCUCUAAGAGAAAUUGAUCGUUGUGGACCGACCAUUGUAUAGUGUAUAUCCCUUUUAUGAAGUUUAUGGCUUUGUUAUUAAUUAAUUAUAGGUUAUAAUAAUAAAAUAGGAAUUUACAAUCUCUA